GACGAACGCUGGCGGCGUGCUUAACACAUGCAAGUCGAACGAUGAACCCGGAGCUUGCUCCGGUGGAUUAGUGGCGAACGGGUGAGUAACACGUGAGUAACCUGCCCUUGACUCUGGGAUAACUGCGGGAAACUGUAGCUAAUACCGGAUACGACCCUCGGCGGCAUCGCCAGGGGGAGGAAAGAAUUUCGGUCAAGGAUGGACUCGCGGACUAUCAGCUAGUUGGUGAGGUAACGGCGCACCAAGGCGACGACGGGUAGCCGGCCUGAGAGGAUGACCGGCCACACUGGGACAGAGACACUGCCCAGACUCCUACGGGAGGCAGCAGUGGGGAAUAUUGCACAAUGGGCGCGAGCCUGAUGCAGCAACGCCGCGUGAGGGAUGACGGCCUUCGGGUUGUAAACCUCUUUUAGUAGGGAAGAAGCGAAAGUGACGGUACCUGCAGAAAAAGCACCGGCUAACUACGUGCCAGCCGCCGCCGUAA
rnacentral:rRNA from 1 species